rnacentral:rRNA from 1 species
GUGAGGAAUAUUGGUCAAUGGGCGGGAGCCUGAACCAGCCAAGUCGCGUGAAGGAAGAAGGAUCUAUGGUUCGUAAACUUCUUUUGCAGGGGAAUAAAGUGCAGGACGUGUCCUGUUUUGUAUGUACCCUGAGAAUAAGGAUCGGCUAACUCCGUGCCAGCAGCCGCGGUAAUACGGAGGAUCCGAGCGUUAUCCGGAUUUAUUGGGUUUAAAGGGUGCGUAGGUGGUUUGAUGAGUCAGCGGUGAAAGUUUGCAGCUUAACUGUAAAAAUGCCGUUGAAACUGUCGGACUUGAGUGUAAAUGAGGUAGGCGGAAUGCGUGGUGUAGCGGUGAAAUGCAUAGAUAUCACGCAGAACUCCGAUUGCGAAGGCAGCUUACUAAGCUACAACUGACACUGAAGCACGAAAGCGUGGGGAUCAAACAGGAUUAGAUACCCUAGUAGUCC